AACGGACGCUGGCGGCAGGCUUAACACAUGCAAGUCGAACGAUGUAGCAAUACAUAGUGGCGCACGGGUGAGUAACGCGUGGGAUUAUACCUUAUAGUGGGGCAUAACGUUGGGACACUAACGCUAAUACCGCAUACGAUCGAGAGGGGAAAGAUUUAUAGCUAUAAGAUUAGCCCGCGUGAGCUUAGGCAGUUGGUGGGGUAAUGGCCUACCAAGCCUACGAUCUCUAGCUGGUCUGAGAGGAUGAUCAGCCACACUGGAAGUGAGACACGGUCCAGACACCUACGGGAGGCAGCAGUGGGGAAUAUUGGGCAAUGGAGGAAACUCUGACCCAGCCAUGCCGCGUGAAUGAUGAAGGCCUUAGGGUUGUAAAGUUCUUUCGCCGAUGAAGAUAAUGACGGUAGUCGGAGAAGAAGCCCCGGCUAACUUCGUGCCAGCAGCCGCCGUAA
rnacentral:rRNA from 1 species